CUCCUCCGCUCCGCCCGGGCUCCGGCCACGCCUCGGGGUGUUCCCGCAGGCUGAGCGGGGCUGCGGGACGGGCUGAGGUGUCCUCAGGGCCCCGAGUCCCGGCAGGCUUUUUCCCAGCCGGUGUCAGCCCGUGGGAAGCGAGGGUCCCUGCACCCGCUCCCUCAGCCGCUCUUGGGCGAGGGGCGCGGGCUCCGCCGUGGGCGGAAACGUUAAGGGGAAAAAAUAAAAGAGAUAAAAUAGUAGAGGGCAUACCUGAAGUUCGCUGACCCUCUCGUACAAAUCCAAUGUGUCCAUCACCAUUUUGAGGACUUCAAUAUGCGCUUGCAGUGUGAGGAUGAGGAAGGUAUGGUGUUUAACACAGCUGACCACCAGCUACUUCCCAGUCUCCUCUUCAACACUGCUAUUAAAAUCUAACUCUCAUGUUCUUCUCUGAAAGCUGGGCAUUGUCCAUGUGAAACACAGAGAAGUCACAGAAUUUCUGUGUGUGUUCUGCAGAUAAAUAAAGAAAUGCUAUGUGUGUUCUGCUAUGUGUAUUCAGCAGAUAAAUAAAGAAAUGAAAAGUUAUGUCAGGAAGAAAUAAUACCCAGAUAUCCUGGGGGAAUGGCUUUUGAGGAUCUAUAAAAGGGAACUGUGUGUUUGUGACAAGCUGUUAUCUGUUUAUAUGAUGACAGGUCCUAUAUCACAGGAGACUGAAAUGAUGCCCUUUGUCUCCUGAGCUGUGUAAAUAUAAGGCUGUGAUGUAGAAAGAGUUAAAAAAAAAAACAAAUUUCACAUUCUCUUUAAUACCAGGUGAAUCUGUCUCCUGUUUCUAUUUCCACUUCCCUGAUUCUCUUGAAUUCUGUACUUCUUGAUUCUGUGUAUCCAGAACUAAUAACUUAAGGGCAUAAGAAAAUGGAGG